rnacentral:rRNA from 1 species
GACGAACGCUGGCGGCGUGCCUAAUACAUGCAAGUCGAACGCUUCUUUCCUCCCGAGUGCUUGCACUCAAUUGGAAAGAGGAGUGGCGGACGGGUGAGUAACACGUGGGUAACCUACCCAUCAGAGGGGGAUAACACUUGGAAACAGGUGCUAAUACCGCAUAACAGUUAUGCCGCAUGGCAUAAGAGUGAAAGGCGCUUUCGGGUGUCGCUGAUGGAUGGACCCGCGGUGCAUUAGCUAGUUGGUGAGGUAACGGCUCACCAAGGCCACGAUGCACAGCCGACCUGAGAGGGUGAUCGGCCACACUGGGACUGAGACACGGCCCAG